rnacentral:rRNA from 1 species
UACAGAGGUCUCAAGCGUUGUUCGGAUUCAUUGGGCGUAAAGGGUGCGUAGGCGGCGCGGUAAGUCGGGUGUGAAAUCUCGGGGCUUAACUCCGAAACUGCAUUCGAUACUGCCGUGCUUGAGGACUGGAGAGGAGACUGGAAUUUACGGUGUAGCGGUGAAAUGCGUAGAUAUCGUAAGGAAGACCAGUGGCGAAGGCGGGUCUCUGGGACGUGACUGACGCUGAGACGCGAAAGCGUGGGGAGCAAACAGG